GCAGGUCAGCGAUGAAGCUGGUAUCACAGGUUAACUGGAGGGAUGUGCCAAUGGAUUGGCCAGAAUGGCUUUGGAUACGAAAUCAGGAUGCUUCUUACUACAAUUGCUACAAGACAGAAUGAUGAAUAUUACAAAAAUGUCCACAAGAAAACAAAUUCUUUUUACAGGAGGUUUGAAUAAGGCUGACCUUCUACCUCAGACUUCUCCUUUGCCUUCACAGUCCCAAUGUAAUGGCAGUAAAGGGGAGACAAUGAGGUGACAGGCAAAAGCUGGGACAAGAUGCCUACAAACAGAGGUGGAAGAAAAGAAAGAGAAAUCAGAGCAAGGAAACUGAGGCCAGGAAGAAGAGAUCGUGAAUGAAGAGGUUCAGCCAUAAGCAGU